rnacentral:rRNA from 1 species
GACACGACUCUCGGCAACGGAUAUCUCGGCUCUCGCAUCGAUAAAGAACGUAGCGAAAUGCGAUACCUGGUGUGAAUUGCAGAAUCCCGCGAACCAUCGAGUCUUUGAACGCAAGUUGCGCCCGAGGCCACCCGGUCGAGGGCACGCCUGCCUGGGCGUCACG